AAAGUCGUAACAAGGUUUCCGUAGGUGAACCUGCGGAAGGAUCAUUACCGAGUGCGGACUUCGGUCCAACCUCCCAUCCGUGUCUAUUGUACCCUGUUGCUUCGGCGGGCCCGCCCUCGCUCCCUCACCGGAGCAGGGCCGCCGGGGGGCUUUUCGCCCCCGGGCCCGUGCCCGCCGAGGACGAUAACCAUGAACACUGUCUGAAGUAUGCAGUCUGAGUCAAUUUGAUUAAAGAAAUCGUUAAAACUUUCAACAACGGAUCUCUUGGUUCCG
rnacentral:misc_RNA from 1 species